AUGCACUGCUCUCAGGGCAGGAACACUCAAAAUUCAUAUUACUGUUAUUUUAAUAAACUACGCACUGCUCUCAGGGCAGGAGCACUCAAUAUUCAUAUUACUGUUAUUUUAAUAAACUAUGUGCUGCUCUCAGGGCAGGAGUACUCAAUAUUCAUAUUACUGUUAUUUUUACUAAACUAUGUGCUGCUCUCAGGGCAGGAGUACUCAAUAUUCAUAUUACUGUUAUUUUUACUAAACUAUGCGCUGCUCUCAGGGCAUCAGGGCAGGAGUACUCAAUAUUCAUAUUACUGUUAUUUUACUAAACUAUGUGCUGCUCUCAGGCCAGGAGUACUCAAUAUUCAUAUGACUGUUAUUUUACUAAACUAUGCACUGCUCUCAGGGCAGGAGUACUCAAUAUUCAUAUUACUGUUAUUUUUAGGGUACUAUGUGCUGGCAGUAGUACUCAAUAUUCAUAUAACUGUUAUUUUUAGUAUAUUAUGUGCUGCUCUCAGGGCAGGAGUACUCAAUAUUCAUAUAACUGUUAUUUUUAGUAUACUAUGCGCUGCUCUCAGGGCAGGAAUACUCAAUAUUCAUAUUACUGUUAUUUUUCUAAACUAUGCACUGCUCUCAGGGCAGGAGUACUCAAUAUUCAUAUUACUGUUAUUUUUAGGGUACUAUGUGCUGGCAGGAGUAAUCAAAAUUCAUAUAACUGUUAUUUUACUAAACUAUGCACUGCUCUCAGGGCAGGAGUACUCAAUAUUCAUAUUACUGUUAUUUUAAUAAACUAUGUGCUGCUCUCAGGGCAGGAGCACUCAAUAUUCAUAUUACUGUUAUUUUAAUAAACUAUGUGCUGCUCUCAGGGCAGGAGUACUCAAUAUUCAUAUUACUGUUAUUUUACUAAACUAUGUGCUGCUCUCAGGGCAGGAGUACUCAAUAUUCAUAUUACUCUUAUUUUAAUAAACUACGCACUGCUCUCAGGGCAGGAGCACUCAAUAUUCAUAUUACUGUUAUUUUACUAAACUAUGCGCUGCUCUCAGGGCAGGAGUACUCAAUCUUCAUAUUACUGUUAUUUUACUCAACUAUGCGCUGCUCUCAGGGCAGAAGUACUCAAUAUUCAUAUUACUGUUAUUUUACUAAAUUAUGUGCUGCUCUCCGGGCAGGAGUACUCAAUAUUCAUAUUACCGUUAUUUUACUAAACUAUGCACUGCUCUCAGGGCAGGAGUACUCAAUAUUCAUAUUACUGUUAUUUUUAGGGUACUAUGUGCUGGCAGGAACACUCAAUAUUCAUAUAACUGUUAUUUUUAGUAUAUUAUGUGCUGCUCUCAGGGCAGGAACACUCAAUAUUCAUAUUACCAUUAUUUUACUAAACUAUGCGCUGCUCUCAGGGCAGGAGUAAUCAAAAUUCAUAUAACUGUUAUUUUUACUAAACUGCGCUGCUCUCAGGGCAGGAAUACUCAAUAUUCAUAUUACUGUUAUUUUUCUAAACUAUGCACUGCUCUCAGGGCAUGAGUACUCAAUAUUCAUAUUACUGUUAUUUUUAGUGUAUUAUGUGCUGCUCUCAGGGCAGGAACACUCAAUAUUCAUAUUACUGUUAUUUUUAGGGUACUAUUUUCUGGCAGGAGUACUCAAUAUUCAUAUUACUGUUAUUUUUAGUGUACUAUGUGCUGCUCUCAGGGCAGGAGCACUCAAUAUUCAUAUUACUGUUAUUUUACUAAACUAUGCGCUGCUCUCAGGGCAGGAGUACUCAAUCUUCAUAUUACUGUUAUUUUACUCAACUAUGCGCUGCUCUCAGGGAAGGAGUACUCAAUAAUUAUAUUACCAGACUCUUUGUGCAUUUCAAAUGCAGGAAGACAUGGCAAACACUUCUGGAGACUUUGAGAAACUGCCUUUGAGAAGAUAUCUGGCAAGGCGACCUACAGUAUGGCCUGGUUUAAAGGGAGCACGUUCAAACUACAGCAGUUUAAUGAUGCAUCUACCUUUUCCUGUGAAAUCUUCCUGUGUGUUGUACAUGCAUUUAAUUCACUGGAUUUGUUUUUUAUUGUUUAAAAAGAGAAAGUAGUCAUACUUAUACUUGAUUAUUUUAUUGUAAUAUUGGACCCGUAAACUGAUUAUUUUCAAUCAACAUUUAAUUUUGUUCUUACACAAACAAUCUGUACAACAGACAUUGAAUGAAACAACAUUUACAGCACAGUAAAAAAAAAAAAAAAACACAGGCUUAGCCUAUGAGAACAUUAAGUGGUUGCACAUAGAUUGACACCGGGAACGUUUAAAAUCACAUUUAUGUGUCACCAAGUCAACUCAGGACUUCUCUCACAAUUCAGAUGGCAAUUGUUAUUCAAGGCAUUGAUGUUUGCAUACAAAACCACCACUGGCUCUGCACCCCUUUACCUAAAUUCAUUACUUCAGACUUAUGUGCCCUCUAGAAGCUUGCGUUCUGCAAGUGAACAUCGCUUGAUUGUGCCAUCCCAAAGAAGCACAAAGUCACUUUUACGGACUUUUAAAUUAAAUGUUCCCUCCUGGUGGAAUGACCUGCCCAACUCAAUCCGAGCAGCUGAGUCCUUACCCAUCUUUAAGAAUCGGCUUAAAACACAUCUCUUCCAUCUUUAUUUGACCCUCUAACUUUUUCACUCACUAUUCUAAUUCUAUUUAAAAAAAAAAAUCUAACUACCUUUUUAAUCUUUUUGUAUUCUAUCUAUUUUCUUUUCAUUUAUUAUACAAUUAUAAAAAGACCCCUAACACUAGCUUGCUCUAUUCUUUUUCUAUUCUAUCUGUUUUUCUUUUUAUUUAUUAUAUUAUUUAAAAGCCCUUGCUACGUAUACUGUGUUUAGGCUAACUGAGACUUGUUAUAGCACUUAUAUAUCAUUGCUCUUUUGUUGUUUUUGAUUGCUUCCAUUGUCCUCAUUUGUAAGUCGCUUUGGAUAAAAGCGUCUGCUAAAUGACUAAAUGUAAAUGUAAAUGUAAAUAUGGACAUAUGUAAAAAAUUAUUUACAUGGCACCUCAGCGAUAACUCAUGUAUUUGAUGAUUUAUUCACAGUGGAGAAGAAAGAUGUGAGAUCAUUAUGAACCUAGGAAUGCACUGCUGACAUGGCCAGUUGCAUAGUUGUCUGCUCUAAAUAAAAUGCCAUACUCUUGGAAUAAAAGAUUUAAAUGUACUGUAAUACUAUACUAUUUAUUAUUUAUUUAAAUCUCUGGUUUAAAAAUAGGAAAAUAGACCCAAUAUAGUUGAAAUGGUUCUUAAUUUUUAUCUCUCAAAAUGAUGGGUGUCAUUAAAAAUGUGGAGAUUAGCAUUAAUAAGUAAAUGCAACCUCUUAUUUACAUGAGGUAAACAAAGCUGCUUGGUUCGCAUUUUCAAGUACGUAAUUGUAGGCCUAUACAUAUUUUAAAAAUGGUAUUGUAUACCUGUUACUGCCAUAAUAAUUACCCAUUUCAAAUGUUUACAUGCUUUUCUGGUCUUUUUUGUUUUUAACAAGCAUC
ensembl:lncRNA